rnacentral:rRNA from 1 species
AGCAGCCGCGGUAAUUCCAGCUCCAAUAGCGUAUAUUAAAGUUGUUGUAGUUAAAAAGCUCGUAGUUGAAUUUCGGGGUCAGUAGGUUGGUCAUGCCUCCGGUAUGUACUGGUCUCACUAAUUCCUCCUUCCUGAUGAGCCGUAAUGCCAUUAAUUUGGUGUUGCGGGGAAUCUGGACUGUUACUUUGAAAAAAUUAGAGUGUUUAAAGCAAGCUAACGCUUGAAUACAUUAGCAUGGAAUAAUGGAAUAGGACGUUCGAUCCUAUUUUGUUGGUUUCUAGGAUUGACGUAAUGAUUAAUAGGGAUAGUUGGGGGCAUUAGUAUUCAAUUGUCAGAGGUGAAAUUCUUGGAUUUAUUGAAGACUAACUACUGCGAAAGCAUUUGCCAAGGAUGUUUUCAUUAAUCAAGAACGAAAGUUAGGGGAUCGAAGACGAUCAGAUACCGUCGUAGUCUUAACCAUAAACUAUGCCGACUAGGGAUCGGAUGAUGUUAAUUUUUAAUGUACUCAUUCGGCGCCUUA